UACGUAGGGGGCAAGCGUUAUCCGGAUUUACUGGGUGUAAAGGGAGCGUAGACGGCGAUGCAAGUCUGAAGUGAAAGGCGGGGGCCCAACCCCCGGACUGCUCUGGAAACUGUGUAACUUGAGUGCAGGAGAGGCAGACGGAAUUCCUAGUGUAGCGGUGAAAUGCGUAGAUAUUAGGAGGAACACCAGUGGCGAAGGCGGUCUGCUGGACAGCAACUGACGCUGAGGCGCGAAAGCGUGGGGAGCAAACAGG
rnacentral:rRNA from 1 species